CGGGACGGGUGGGUAAUGUCUGGGAAACUGCCUGAUGGAGGGGGGUAACUACUGGAAACGGUAGCUAAUACCGCAUAACGUCGCAAGACCAAAGAGGGGGACCGUUCGGGCCUCUUGCCAUCGGAUGUGCCCAGAUGGGAUUAGCUAGUAGGUGGGGUAACGGCUCACCUAGGCGACGAUCCCUAGCUGGUCUGAGAGGAUGACCAGCCACACUGGAACUGAGACACGGUCCAG
rnacentral:rRNA from 1 species